rnacentral:rRNA from 1 species
GAUUGAACGCUGGCGGCAUGCUUUACACAUGCAAGUCGAACGGCAGCGCGGGCUUCGGCCUGGCGGCGAGUGGCGAACGGGUGAGUAAUACAUCGGAACGUGCCCAGUAGUGGGGGAUAGCUCGGCGAAAGCCGGAUUAAUACCGCAUACGACCUGAGGGUGAAAGCGGGGGAUCUUCGGACCUCGCGCUAUUGGAGCGGCCGAUGGCAGAUUGGCUAGUUGGUGGGGUAAAGGCCUACCAAGGCGACGAUCUGUAGCUGGUCUGAGAGGACGACCAGCCACACUGGGACUGAGACACGGCCCAGACUCCUACGGGAGGCAGCAGUGGGGAAUUUUGGACAAUGGGCGAAAGCCUGAUCCAGCAAUGCCGCGUGUGUGAUGAAGGCCUUCGGGUUGUAAAGCACUUUUGGCGGGAACGAAAAGGACUGUGCCAAUACCACGGUUCGAUGACGGUACCCGCAGAAUAAGCACCGGCUAACUACGUG